AACGUAGGAGACAAACGUUAUCCGGAGUUACUGGGCGUAAAGGGCGUGCAGGUGGUCUGUUAAGUCUGGCGUGAAAGCUCCUGGCUAAACCGGGAGAGGUCGUUGGAUACUGGCGGACUAGAGGACGGUAGAGGCGGGUGGAAUUCCGGGUGUAGCGGUGGAAUGCGUAGAGAUCCGGAAGAACACCAGUGGCGAAGGCGGCCCGCUGGGCAGUGGCUGACGCUGAGGCGCGACAGCGUGGGGAGCAAACGAGG
rnacentral:rRNA from 1 species